ACAUCAAGUUUUCCAGACUUACCGAUGGGAAAGAAGAAAUGGGAAUGUGACAAUUAUUGAGAAACUCAGGGAAAAAGCAUCUUUAGAGAAGAAAAUGGACAUCAGACAUUUAUUGAAGAAAGCUGACAGUCAACAUAAUGAUGAGAGCUGUGUUAUACAAUGUUAAGGAUACUCGUUCAUCUUCUGCUGUGUGAAUUCUGCUGUGUCAGUCCUGUGGGACUUGAUGCCGGCUGGUACCAGUGUGACGUCUUUGCUUACUAAAUGAUCAAAGGGUGUCUGAAAUCAGCUCAGCCACAGUUGGUUUCCAACGGUUCUUCAGGACAUGGAGGCCACUACGUAACUGUUGCAAUGAACGAUUCUUUUGCCUUUCCACCUGAUGUUGACAAUCUGACCUGUACGGUACUGAAAACAACUUGCGCUGACAUAUCUUAAAAUAUAUCAGUGCCCUUUGUUUUGCUUCAAAAUGCACACCAGUAAUGUUUUUUGUUGAAACCAGUUAUAUUUCCUAAUUAAACUAAGGCCUAGUCCUGGAUUAAGCUAAUCCCCUGUCCGGGAAACCGCCCCUAAAUGUUUUGUGACGGAAAUUUCUUUGAAUACACUUGUCAAGUUCAUUUUAAGUAUUUUUCUAAAUGUAAGAUAACAUGUUAA